rnacentral:rRNA from 1 species
AUUGAACGCUGGCGGCAGGCUUAACACAUGCAAGUCGAGCGGGGUGAUGGUGCUUGCACUAUCACUUAGCGGCGGACGGGUGAGUAAUGCUUAGGAAUCUGCCUAUUAGUGGGGGACAACAUCUCGAAAGGGAUGCUAAUACCGCAUACGUCCUACGGGAGAAAGCAGGGGAUCACUUGUGACCUUGCGCUAAUAGAUGAGCCUAAGUCGGAUUAGCUAGUGGGUGGGGUAAAGGCCCACCAAGGCGAAGAUCUGUAGCGGGUCUGAGCGGAUGAGCCGCCACACUGGGACUGCAACACGGCCCAGACUCCUACGGGAGGCAGCAGUGGGGACUAUUGGACAAUGGGGGGAACACUGAGCAAGCCAUGCCGCGUGUGUGAAGAAGGCCUUAUGGUUGUAAAGCACUUUAAGCGAGGAGGAGGCUCUUUUGGUUAAUACCCAAGAUGAGUGGACGUUACUCGCAGAAUAAGCACCGGCUAACUCUGUGCCAGCCGCCGCCGUAA